rfam:Schistosoma rodhaini strain Burundi genome assembly, scaffold: SROB_contig0000156
GUCCAGCUGACGAGUCUCAAAUAGGAUGAAAGGCGCAUCUUGGAU